rnacentral:sRNA from 18 species
UUUGUAAUAAGUUAGGUGAGGCUCCUAUACAAACAUAGGCUAUUGCUCAGAAAUGUCGAGAGACACCAAUGAGUAGAACAAGACUGGUCGAGGAGAAGGCUUUUCUCAAAAUAGCUAAGAGUGAUCUUUACGUUGUAUAGUGCUAAAGCUCAACGUUCAUGUUGAUGU